rnacentral:rRNA from 1 species
UUGCUCCCGGAUGUUAGCGGCGGACGGGUGAGUAACACGUGGGUAACCUGCCUGUAAGACUGGGAUAACUCCGGGAAACCGGAGCUAAUACCGGAUAGUUCCUUGAACCGCAUGGUUCAAGGAUGAAAGACGGUUUCGGCUGUCACUUACAGAUGGACCCGCGGCGCAUUAGCUAGUUGGUGGGGUAAUGGCUCACCAAGGCGACGAUGCGUAGCCGACCUGAGAGGGUGAUCGGCCACACUGGGACUGAGACACGGCCCAGACUCCUACGGGAGGCAGCAGUAGGGAAUCUUCCGCAAUGGACGAAAGUCUGACGGAGCAACGCCGCGUGAGUGAUGAAGGUUUUCGGAUCGUAAAGCUCUGUUGUUAGGGAAGAACAAGUGCGAGAGUAACUGCUCGCACCUUGACGGUACCUAACCAGAAAGCCACGGCUAACUACGUGCCAGCAGCCGCGGUAAUACGUAGGUGGCAAGCGUUGUCCGGAAUUAUUGGGCGUAAAGGGCUCGCAGGCGGUUUCUUAAGUCUGAUGUGAAAGCCCCCGGCUCAACCGGGGAGGGUCAUUGGAAACUGGGAAACUUGAGUGCAGAAGAGGAGAGUGGAAUUCCACGUGUAGCGGUGAAAUGCGUAGAGAUGUGGAGGAACACCAGUGGCGAAGGCGACUCUCUGGUCUGUAACUGACGCUGAGGAGCGAAAGCGUGGGGAGCGAACAGGAUUAGAUACCCUGGUAGUCCACGCCGUAAACGAUGAGUGCUAAGUGUUAGGGGGUUUCCGCCCCUUAGUGCUGCAGCUAACGCAUUAAGCACUCCGCCUG